GGGUUGUGAGGUUAAGCGACUAAGCGUACACGGUGGAUGCCCUGGCAGUCAGAGGCGAUGAAGGACGUGCUAAUCUGCGAAAAGCGUCGGUAAGGUGAUAUGAACCGUUAUAACCGGCGAUGUCCGAAUGGGGAAACCCAGUGCAAUUCGUUGCACUAUCGUUNNNNNNNNNNNNNNNNNNNNNNNNNNNNNNNNNNNNNNNNNNNNNNNNNNNNNNNNNNNNNNNNNNNNNNNNNNNGGGGAGCAGCCCGGAGUCUGAAUCAGCUUGUGUGUUAGUGGAAGCGUCUGGAAAGUCGCAGGGUACAGGGUGAUACUCCCGUACACUAAAACACACAGGCUGUGAACUCGAAGAGUAGGGCGGGACACGUGGUAUCCUGUCUGAAUAUGGGGGGACCAUCCUCCAAGGCUAAAUACUCCUGACUGACCGAUAGUGAACCAGUACCGUGAGGGAAAGGCGAAAAGAACCCCGGCGAGGGGAGUGAAAAAGAACCUGAAACCGUGUACGUACAAGCAGUAGGAGCCCNNNNNNNNNNNNNNNNNNNNNNNNNNNNNNNNNNNNNGGGUGACUGCGUACCUUUUGUAUAAUGGGUCAGCGACUUAUAUUCUGUAGCAAGGUUAACCGUAUAGGGGAGCCGCAGGGAAACCGAGUCUUAACUGGGCGUUAAGUUGCAGGGUAUAGACCCGAAACCCGGUGAUCUAGCCAUGGGCAGGUUGAAGGUUGGGUAACACUAACUGGAGGACCGAACCGACUAAUGUUGAAAAAUUAGCGGAUGACUUGUGGCUGGGGGUGAAAGGCCAAUCAAACCGGGAGAUAGCUGGUUCUCCCCGAAAGCUAUUUAGGUAGCGCCUCGUGAAUUCAUCUUCGGGGGUAGAGCACUGUUUCGGCUAGGGGGUCAUCCCGACUUACCAACCCGAUGCAAACUACGAAUACCGAAGAAUGUUAUCACGGGAGACACACGGCGGGUGCUAACGUCCGUCGUGAAGAGGGAAACAACCCAGACCGCCAGCUAAGGUCCCAAAGUCAUGGUUAAGUGGGAAACGAUGUGGGAAGGCCCAGACAGCCAGGAUGUUGGCUUAGAAGCAGCCAUCAUUUAAAGAAAGCGUAAUAGCUCACUGGUCGAGUCGGCCUGCGCGGAAGAUGUAACGGGGCUAAACCAUGCACCGAAGCUGCGGCAGCGACACUAUGUGUUGUUGGGUAGGGGAGCGUUCUGUAAGCCGUUGAAGGUGGCCUGUGAGGGUUGCUGGAGGUAUCAGAAGUGCGAAUGCUGACAUAAGUAACGAUAAUGCGGGUGAAAAACCCGCACGCCGGAAGACCAAGGGUUCCUGUCCAACGUUAAUCGGGGCAGGGUGAGUCGACCCCUAAGGCGAGGCCGAAAGGCGUAGUCGAUGGGAAACAGGUUAAUAUUCCUGUACUUGGUGUUACUGCGAAGGGGGGACGGAGAAGGCUAUGUUGGCCGGGCGACGGUUGUCCCGGUUUAAGCAUGUAGGCGGAUGUUCCAGGUAAAUCCGGAACGUCACUAACGCUGAGGUGUGAUGACGAGGCACUACGGUGCUGAAGUGACAAAUGCCCUGCUUCCAGGAAAAGCCUCUAAGCAUCAGGUAACAUCAAAUCGUACCCCAAACCGACACAGGUGGUCAGGUAGAGAAUACCAAGGCGCUUGAGAGAACUCGGGUGAAGGAACUAGGCAAAAUGGUGCCGUAACUUCGGGAGAAGGCACGCUGAUGGUAGGUGAAGUGACUUGCUCAUGGAGCUGAAAUCAGUCGAAGAUACCAGCUGGCUGCAACUGUUUAUUAAAAACACAGCACUGUGCAAACACGAAAGUGGACGUAUACGGUGUGACGCCUGCCCGGUGCCGGAAGGUUAAUUGAUGGGGUUAUCCUCGCGGAGAAGCUCUUGAUCGAAGCCCCGGUAAACGGCGGCCGUAACUAUAACGGUCCUAAGGUAGCGAAAUUCCUUGUCGGGUAAGUUCCGACCUGCACGAAUGGCGUAAUGAUGGCCAGGCUGUCUCCACCCGAGACUCAGUGAAAUUGAACUCGCUGUGAAGAUGCAGUGUACCCGCGGCAAGACGGAAAGACCCCGUGAACCUUUACUAUAGCUUGACACUGAACACUGGUCCUUGAUGUGUAGGAUAGGUGGGAGGCUUUGAAGUGUGGACGCCAGUCUGCAUGGAGCCAUCCUUGAAAUACCACCCUUUAAUGGCUGGUGUUCUAACGUGGGCCCGUAAUCCGGGUUGCGGACAGUGUCUGGUGGGUAGUUUGACUGGGGCGGUCUCCUCCUAAAGAGUAACGGAGGAGCACGAAGGUCAGCUAAUCCUGGUCGGACAUCAGGAGGUUAGUGCAAUGGCAUAAGCUGGCUUGACUGCGAGCGUGACGGCGCGAGCAGGUGCGAAAGCAGGUCAUAGUGAUCCGGUGGUUCUGAAUGGAAGGGCCAUCGCUCAACGGAUAAAAGGUACUCCGGGGAUAACAGGCUGAUACCGCCCAAGAGUUCAUAUCGACGGCGGUGUUUGGCACCUCGAUGUCGGCUCAUCACAUCCUGGGGCUGAAGUAGGUCCCAAGGGUAUGGCUGUUCGCCAUUUAAAGUGGUACGCGAGCUGGGUUUAGAACGUCGUGAGACAGUUCGGUCCCUAUCUGCCGUGGGCGCUGGAGAAUUGAGGGGGGCUGCUCCUAGUACGAGAGGACCGGAGUGGACGCAUCACUGGUGUUCGGGUUGUCAUGCCAAUGGCAUUGCCCGGUAGCUAAAUGCGGAAGAGAUAAGUGCUGAAAGCAUCUAAGCACGAAACUUGCACCGAGAUGAGAUCUCCCAGACUCCUAGAGGGUCCUCAAGGAACGUUGAAGACGACGACGUUGAUAGGCCGGGUGUGUAAGCGAAGCGAUGAGUU
rnacentral:rRNA from 1 species